rnacentral:rRNA from 1 species
GAUAAACGCUGGCGGCGUGCCUAACACAUGCAAGUCGAACGCCCUUAGCAAUAAGGGAGUGGCGGACGGGUGAGUAACACGUGGAGACCUGCCUUCAAGUGAGGAAUACCGGCGAGAAAUCGCCGACAAGACCGCAUACCUUUCGCAAGAAAGAAAGCCGCAAGGCGCUUGAAGAUGGCUCUGCGCCCGAUUAGCUAGUUGGUGAGGUCAAGGCUUACCAAGGCGACGAUCGGUAGCUGGUCUGAGAGGAUGAUCAGCCACACUGGGAUUGAGAACG